rnacentral:miRNA from 1 species
AGUGGCGGCGGCCAGCUCUGGAGCCCUGGAGUCAGCCCCCGCAGUAACUCCGGAGCUCUCCGUCUGCAGGGCCUGGAUGCUCCGGGGCGGGGCCGCUGAUCUGCUCAGCUCCGGGCAGGAGCGUCUUU